ensembl:snRNA Gm24919 U6 spliceosomal RNA
GUGCUCUCUUUGAUAGCACAUAUUCUAAAAUUAGAACAAAACAGAGAAGGUUAGUUUGGCCCUGUGCAAGGCUGACAAGCCGAUUUAUGAAACGUUCCAUAUUUAA